CUAUCUAACUCUGCCUGUCAAAAAGAAGAAAAAUUACAUUGUACAAAAAUGCUUUACAAAAGCAUUACCACAUCUCAUCAUCAAAGAAGUACAGAAAGAUUGAUGAAUAUUUGAGUCCAAGUACCUAUACAUUAAAAAAUGCAAAAAUUUUAAUUCAAAGUUAAGGAAAUAUUCAAAAUUCUUUCAGCUUCAAGUUUCUACCAUUUAAGCUUUUAGAUGUUUCUAGAUCUGUCUCUGGAUCUUGCCCAAAGAUGUGAUUAUCUAUUGUCAAUGCCUAAUAAUGAAGUCUGUCUUCUCUCAUCCCAGAGACAGGGGAAAACUAAACUGCAAGGGAAUAUCCAACAAUAUAAAUCUGUCCAUUGAUAUUAAGAAUCUUCACUAAGUGGGAGGAGAAUAAAUAGAAAACUACCUCUUGGCUAUAAGGAAACCCGAGCAAUUAGGACUAUGUGAGCCAAAUGACAGAAUACAGAGGAUUAAAGAUCUAUUUUCAGUUUGGAUUUAAAUAGAAAAAGCCCAGGAGUCCAACAGAGACUGGGCAGGUCCAUGAUGAGGAAGCAAGAAAGAAAGCAAAGUGGCGGGGGCUCAGUGGAGGCAAAGUGAAGGCGCAGUGGAGACGCCCAAAGAGGAGAUUGGUGUCACCCACCCGGAGAACCAGCUUUUGCAGGUCCUGUUGGUGACAGUGGGGAGACAAAGAUGGACAAGGGUGUGCCUGACCUCUCCAUAUGUUCUGUGGGGCUCCAUGGGAUGCGCAGCCAUGGAGCCCCCACGUCAAGGUCGGUCUGAUAGCUGUUGCUGUGUCUUUAUCACAAGGCAAAUGUUGCUAGUUUCGGUUAGGGCAAUGCUUUCCCACGGUCGGGAAUUUCCAGAGGCACUGAGCCUGUCUCGUAAACAACAAGAUGGUGCCGAGGACCGCGCAGUGAGCCUGCCUGCUGAGUGACAUCUGAUUGGCCCAAGGACGCGUGCAUACUGCGUGAACAGACAGCGGAUUGGAGUGUUCCGUGCAUGGACUUGAGCCCGCUUGCAAUUGGCCGGAUUUUGUAUAUAAGCUGUGUGCUGAGGAAGGAGGGGGCUUUUCUGUCCACUCUCCUCCCUUCAUUCUUUCUCUGUCACUGUUAUUUUCUUAUUAAAAGUCUACUGAAGACUGAUAAGCUGCGAACAGUGUCGUUCCUUUGCGGGCGAGGGAGUGACAAUGUUCCCUUAUA